ACACACACACACACACACACACACACACACACACACACACUCACACACACACCCCGGAGUCCUUCCCACUCCUUCCCCUCACGCGCGCUUACUAUCCACUAUCGACUUUCACUGGAGACCGACUGCAUCGAGCUCUUUUUUUUUUCCUUCCUCCUUUUUCUUUUACUUGCCAGUCUUUGCUUUUGGUUAUGCCCUCAUGUAUGGAGGCACCAUCACGCAGACGCUUCACCCCUACUAUGCGUGGCGCCCGUGAAAAAUGCAGGCCGUGGAUUGUCCCUGCGUUAGACUGAAUGCCACAAACCGCUUGUCCCUUCCUGAAUAGUUUUUUCUUUUCUUCUGCAGUAUUUUUUUUUGUUUUUUUUGGUUUUUCAAAUCAGAGCACGACUUCUGUUUAGAAGGCUUUAAAAAAAAAACCUUAUCUGUAUUCUGAAGCGGGAGCUUAGGGUUGAAGAAAAAGGAAAAGAGUGUCCGAUGAAUAGACAGAUGAAGGGGGACAGAGGCAAGAAUGAGGGGAAAAUGGAGAGCAUGGUCUACGCUAGAAAGCAAGAAAGAACGAGAAAGAGAGAGAGGGAGAGGGAGAGGUAGGAGAAAGAGUACCGGCACUGCUAAGAAAAACAGGAGGGGGAAGAGAGGAGAAGGGGGACCAGUAGGGGAUAGACUUAGGAAGGAGAGACGGCUGGAUAGGAAUUGGCAAAAUCGCGGGAAAAAGGAGAAAAAAACAAAACUCCAGAAUGAGAAGAAACUGGACUUCUCUCCAAAGUCUCACACUCUCUGGUCGCCUUUGAUUUUUUGUUUUUUGACAUGAUUUUUCAUCACUUCUCCGGUCACCCUCUCAUUCAUCUAUUGAGCUUCUGCGUCAACCUGAACUUUUUCAUUGAAGAUGUGAUUAUUAUCAGGAAUGCCGUGGUCAACCAGUGAAGCUCCCCAGUGAGAAGAGAGCCAUGGGAAAAACCUCAAUCUAGAUCCCGGUUGUGAGGAUGUGAUCCAGGCCAUUUUGUGCAGACGUGUCCAGACUAAACAUUUCUGCAACGCCAUCGAUGAAAAACGGUAACCAUCCAAUAUGACGUAUGGACUGUCUCUUGCUCUUAUUUUAUUUUGUCUAUUUUUGUUAUGAUUGAUGCUAUGUACCUAUCAGUAGUUUAAAAUUGUGUGCAGGUUUAAUGUCCAAAUGUAAUCUCACUGAGCUUAUAUAAUGGCAUACGCACUUAAAUAACAUACAUACUUAAGAUACGUCAUAGAAAUAUAUAUUUUCGUGUUAAAGUUUCACAGCUUAUUAAAGAUGUGUUGGAUUUUAGCUGUGGACGAGGCUCAUCGAACAGCAAGCUGCUGCCUUUUUCAGACCAGCUGUGUCUGUCGGUGUGCUUCAUUGUCCCUGAGACCCUUAACCUGUGAUGAUAUGAAAGGUCACAGGUGAGGUCCUUGGGAACAAAGUUGCAUGCAGCUGCACCUGGAGGCCACAGUAUUUCCUGUCAUUAGACUUAGAUAAUGCAGCACAACAAGCUGUGUACUUCUUAAAUCAUGAGAUUAUCACAAAUGUAACACAGAUCAGAGUAAGUCUGCAGAGCAGUUGUAGAAUGAAUUUUAACUGCGUGAACUCAUCUGGAGAGAAUUGCCCAAACUUUCCAGAUGUCACGGAAAGCCAUGACGAGACAACGUGCUUCUCUGGAGGGGGCAGUACCUUUUGGCCGGCUUUGUGCGCUGAACACUUACACAGUUCAAUAAAAAGACAGCCAAGGUUCGUGACCCCGAUAUAUUAUUCACCUGAGAUUUUUUGACGCAUUCGAGAAGAGACAGGAAACACUUUCAUAAAAAGACAAGUGUCAUCACCAUCAUACUUAUUCAUUUGUAUGAAAUAUUUGUUAUUGUUAGACUAGAUUAAGUAAGAAAAUUGUGAUUAAUCCUGUUGUUUUGUGCAACUAAUAAUCCAAAUAUAUAUAUAUCUCAAUUAAGACAAAGAAAAUCUUCACAUCUGAAAAGCUGGAACCAGAAAAUGUUUGAAAUGAAAAGAAAGAGAUUAAUUGAUCAUCCGAAUAGUUGUGGAUGAUUUGUCUGUCAAUUGAUUAACUGAUUAAUCAACUGGUUGUCGCAGCUCUACAUUUUUAUAUUUUGCACCUUGUUCUGUUUUUGAUGAACUGAAGAUAUGACAAUAAAAUUCAAGAAAUGGUUAAAA